rnacentral:lncRNA from 1 species
GUCAGUAUUUCUCUAGAUCAAUCUCAAUAGUUAUAGUUUGAUCAAGUCCAUGUGUUUGACCCUUAUAAAUGGAUCAUGAUCAUGGCUCUGUGGUUGAGCCUGAAUCUUCUAGUGUGUCCGAUCAAAACUAACUAACCAGUUGGUAUCUAAGGUAAGUUUAGCAGAUUCGAUCAAGUAAUUUUUAAUUGGGAGCUAUUCACCUAGAUGUGUCAAUGGUGACUUAGGACAGAUCCCACCCGC